rnacentral:lncRNA from 1 species
GGCGCGCGGCCCGGCGCCCCGCCUGCUGCGUGUCACCCCCGUCACGACUCCGCCGCGCACUUCGCCCCCGGCUCUGAACUCCGCCGCUUCCGCAGACCCCUCACGUGGCAGCCCCCUCCGGGGCACGGCGCUAGGGCCACGGGGGCUGCGGACCCCGGCGCUCACAGGGAUCCCGAGCCGGUCGCCACCCCGCCUCGGACGUCACCCUCGUCGGACCACCCACCCACACCUUCCGCCCGAGGCUGGCGGGGAGGGGGGGCUACAAGCUGUCAGCCUACAGUUUCCACAUGACGACGCUCACCCUCGCCCGCCUCGCCACUUGCGCAGCAGCUGAGCUCGAGCUGAAACACACGUUUAAUUAAGGCGGGGGCAACGUCUUGGUUUUUCCCUUUAAUUUGAAAAAUAAACCCCCAAAGCAAAAGGGAAAACGCAGUUUGACCCGAAGCGCUUGCUUUCGGAUUCUCCCUCCCGACCACCACCACCGCCGUCCUCCCGAGAAAGGGAGACCUACCCACCCGAAAUGCCACCCGCACACCUGCCAGGUGACUCGCCAUCCGGAAACCCUGAGCCCCACCCACCCCGCCUGCGGGGAACCCGCGCCUGCGGUGAGGUGGCGGCGACACGGUGUGGUAUCCCAAAGUCCCCGGAGUAAGGGGGGACACACACCCUUCGCCCCACCCGGGAGCGCGCCGCCCGCCCGCACCCCACGCCCAGAGCAAACCUGGGCAUCCUGCGUCGCGGGGGUCUGAGGUCUGGGCUCCGAGGGGCUGCGGUCCCCCAGCGCCCGGACCCCGCGUCCUUUCCCAGAAGCGCGCCCCCUGCCCUGAUUUCCUGUUGACAGCAAGGUGGGCGACGUGGAAGAAAGGCGAGAGUUGUCUCCAGGUUCGGGAAGUCGGUCUCCGCGGAGUGAAGAGUGUUGUUUCAUCAUAUCAUGUCCAUCAUGUGACACCGGAGAGGCCUCUCUAUGGAAACUUAAAGGGGCUCCCACGUGACUGCAGUGGCAACAACAGCGGCAGGACUGGUGGCGGCGGCCGCAGCUAUUGUACCACCACCCAUCGGGAGCCCCUCGCAGCAUCCCGAAGGUGCUUCUAG